rnacentral:rRNA from 1 species
CAUUAGAGUUUGAUCCUGGCUCAGGACGAAGCGAGGGGCGGGCCUAAUACAUGCAAGUGGAACGCACAAGGUGCACGAAGUGUUACAUACACCGUACUUUGUGAGUCGCGAACGGGUGAGUAACGCGUAGGUAACCUACCUUUUAGCGGGGGAUAACUAUUGGAAACGAUAGCUAAUACCGCAUAAGAUAUCUUACUGCAUAGUAAGAUAUUAAAAGAUGCAAUUGCAUCACUAAGAGAUGGACCUGCGUUGUAUUAGCUAGUAGGUGAGGUAACGGCUCACCUAGGCAACGAUACAUAGCCGACCUGAGAGGGUGAUCGGCCACACUGGGACUGAGACACGGCCCAGACUCCUACGGGAGGCAGCAGUAGGGAAUCUUCGGCAAUGGGGGGAACCCUGACCGAGCAACGUUUUGUGAGUGAAGAAGGUUUUCGGAUCGUAAAGCUCUGUUGUAAGAGAAGAACGACCGUGAGAGUGGAAAGUUC